GCGCACUGAUCAACCCACAGAUCGAGUUAAAUAUAACUGUGACAUUACAUUACCUGAUCAUAGCUCGGGAUGGGGGCUAGAAAUGCUGGAAUCCCAUCAUGAUUGUAGCUUGCCAUGUCCUCGGGAAGUAAUCAGGAUGGUACUCAAACAUAUUAUUAGAGGAACCUGCUGUAAUUUGAGCUUCUGACCAACCAAACUUUCUUCAGUUGUGACUCCACCCUUGUUUUUCCAAAUUAAAGUCCAAAUUCCAA
rnacentral:lncRNA from 1 species